GGGAAUAUUGGACAAUGGGCGGAAGCCUGAUCCAGCAACGCCGCGUGAGGGAUGACGGCCUUCGGGUUGUAAACCUCUUUCAGUACCGACGAAGCGCAAGUGACGGUAGGUACAGAAGAAGGACCGGCCAACUACGUGCCAGCAGCCGCGGUAAUACUUAGGGUCCGAGCGUUGUCCGGAAUUAUUGGGCGUAAAGGGCUCGUAGGCGGUUUGUCGCGUCGGGAGUGAAAACCUACAGCUCAACUGUGGGCUUGCUUCCGAUACGGGCAGACUAGAGGUAUGCAGGGGAGAAUGGAAUUCCUGGUGUAGCGGUGAAAUGCGCAGAUAUCAGGAGGAACACCGGUGGCGAAGGCGGUUCUCUGGGCAUUACCUGACGCUGAGGAGCGAAAGUGUGGGGAGCGAACAGGAUUAGAUACCCUGGUAGUCCACACCGUAAACGUUGGGCGCUAGGUGUGGGACCUAUUCCAUGGGUUCCGUGCCGUAACUAACGCAUUAAGCGCCCCACCUGGGGAGUACGGCCGCAAGGCUAAAACUCAAAGGAAUUGACGG
rnacentral:rRNA from 1 species